GGUGGGUGAGUAUGGGGGACUUUUGGGAUAGCAUUGGAAAUGUAAAUGAAGAAAAUACCUAAUUAAAAAAAAAUCAAAAAAAAAAAAAAAAGAAAGUCAAAAAAAAAAAAAAAUGAAGGGGACAUGCGUCCUCAUAAAGGAGGUAAGAAUCUCUCUUAGUAAAUUAUGGAAUACCAGAUAUUUCACAGUAAUCCUGAGUGAACUCUGAAAGAUAAUGUUUUUUAAAUGUAAAUUUACAGAAUGUUUUAUGAAGGUAUUAAGGAUCAACUCUCUUCUACAUUGUCCACUAGAUAUAAAUGGCAAUUUUACAAUCUUUGUAUAUUGGAAAAUUUUCAAAAUUAUAAAUGAUGUUAUCUUUUUAUCCAAUCAGGAUCCAUCCUAAAGAAGCAGAUGACUGACAGUGCAUCCUUUAUGCCCUUUAAAUUUCAUUGGGGUGGGGCGUAUCCUUAAAAGUCUUACCCUUCAGAAGCCCUAAUUUGCCUGUCCUCUGUGGAAUAAAGAGCUGUUGUCUCUGGAGCAGUGUGCGUUUGUCUGACAAUUUCAAUAUCAUACAGAUGGGGUAAAUGCCAAAACUGGAAUGGGCACAUAUGAACAUAGAAGGUCACUGUGAUAUGGCAUUUUCCCAAGAGUGGGGUGACAUCUGUGACAGGUACACAGUAGGUUAGGAACUAAAAUUUAUGAACUUUGAAUUGUCAGACUUAUUCCUGCAUCAUUCAAGGUAUAUUAUUCACCCUAGGAAAGUAGAAACUAAUUAAUAGCUUGUUAGUUUGGUUAACUGAAAUAUUUGAGCCCAGAAUAAGUUGUACUCUGUUUGUAGUCUUGUACUAUUUUUAUUUCAAUAUUACAAAUGUGUAAUGGUAUCAGUUCAAAAAUGUUUUGUAUGGCAUUGUUUUAAUGAAUAGCUUGUUUUUAAAAUUAAAAUAAAGAUGGCUAACUAAAAUAUAUAUAUAUGUCUUAUGAACA
rnacentral:lncRNA from 1 species